AAGAUGAUUCUUCAAUAGAAUUGCCAUCAUUAUUCAGGGCAAUUGGCUCUAUCUGAAACACCUCCAUGGAAGACCUGGAGUAUGAAAUCCAACGUGAAAUCCCCAGCCUUGUUUAAGGCAGCUUCAGUUUCAGGGGUGUUUGCAGAGACAAUUCAGGGGGGUUAUAGAAAGAAUAAGCAAAGCGAAGUCCUAUUACAAUAUGGAGAGAUAAGAGGGCUCGAGAGGAGGUGGAAAAUGUUCAAGUGUUGUGUACUUAAGAAAUUUAUGCAGAAGGGGAAAGAAACGUAUAAAAUAUUUCGACACUUGCG
rnacentral:misc_RNA from 1 species